rnacentral:rRNA from 12 species
GUUAAUCAGUGAGCUUCAGACCCGAUCCUGUCCGAUCUUGAAUGCUAAGCAGGGCUGGGCCUGGUUAGUACUUGUAUGGGAGACCACCCUGGAAGACUAGGGGCCAUGAACC